rnacentral:rRNA from 2 species
AGGUGCGAUCAUACCAGCACUAAUGCACAGGUGUCAUCAGAACAGCGCACUUAAGCGUCCUUGGGCUAGAGUAGUACUAGGAUGGGUGACCUCCUUCGAAGUCCUCGUGUUGCACCCA